rnacentral:lncRNA from 1 species
CACGGAACCCGCCGCGCCGGCGCGACCCCCUCCCCCAGAGCCCUCGGGUGGCUUCUCCCGCGCCCUCCCGGGAUGCUCCUGCCGGCCGGGCCGACCUCCGCGUCCGCAUCUCUCUGGGGGGGGCGAGGGGACGGGACCGAUGCUCUCCUGUCCAAGGGGCCAGGUCCUCCCAGGGCCCGCCAGAAGAGCCAUACCCAACCCCACCGUCUGUGGGCAAGGCCAGCAGACCCUCUGCCCACUCGCAGGCCAGGGCUCACGACCCGAGGGCGCCCAGAGGGAGAGGAGGCCCCUUUGUGUGACUAAAUUUGGCAAGAAUAUGGAUCCGAGCCAGUCUUUCCACGUGUGCUCCCAGCUCCCAGCUGAGAAGGCCAAGGGUUCUCUUCCGGGAGAACCAGUUUGGCUAUUAAGGGAACCUCUCAGCACAGUGCAGAGCAAGAGAAAAAGCAAGAUUUCAGAGAGAAUAGCUGUUUACCAUCAAAGCGAACUGGGUUCCACACAGACAUGGUAUAUUAUACACAGAAACGAAGAAUUAUAGCCAUCACAGCUGUGUGCAGUUUAUGUAAAAUUCUGGGCCUCUGCACUGCACAGCCUUCCUCUACCUGGGACACCUUUCUUCCCUUGUGGUCCUAGAUAAGACCCACUUAGUUAUCUGCUCCUCUGCGAUGCUUUCCCAGUGUUGCAGGUAAAGCCUCACCCCCUCCUUUGUGCCAUCACUUGACUUUAUGCUUCCUUCGGUGUAUUAUUACAGAUAGCAUACAGUAUUAUAAUUACUUUUAAAGCAAAGUGUUUUUUCUUUUUCUUAUUAAAGAGAACUGAAUAAAGUGAGAGAAUUGGCCA